AAAUACAUAAUAUAUUUAAAGUACCUACAUCAAGAUGUGUUGUGUGUGUAACCUGCUGUGCAAGAUCAUCAGCUUGAUUGUAUCCAUCCUGACUACAGUCCUAAUUAUACUACUCAUCCUAUGGUUGGUUGGCGUAAUCUUCCAGAAUGACUCUAACCGUUCUGCUACAUCCACAAACGAACUCCUCAAAAGCGCUGGCGAAUACAAAUAUUCAUCCAUCGGAGCAUCAUUCACAUAGUGUUUAAUUUUAAUAAUAUUUUUUUUUAAGUGCCUACUAACCGUCAUCUUCUCUCUAUGUAGCUUAGAGAGUCAGUGGCAACUUUUUAUGGCAUUAAAGCUAACCAAUUGACUCUUCUUACUGAUUUAAACUUCUGUGACUAUACAUGUAAUUU